UUGGCUUGACUUUUUAAGUGGAAUGGUUAACAUAAUUUAUUCUUGGCCAACUUAUGCACACGUCUUUUGAAUGCUUUUUCUUUUUCCAUUUUUUAUUUUCAUGUUAAGAACACUUGCAUGAUAGUUUCUUUGCUUGGGUUUCAGUUGUCUAGGAGUCCAGACACCGUCUUCAGCUCCUUCCCUACAUGCCAAUAAAAAGGCAAUAAUUGUGAAAUGAAACAAUUGAUUUUGUAUAAAGUGUCUUUUCUUUCACUGAAGGAUUGAAAUUUUCCUAUAAAAUGAACAUGGUAUUUUACUUUUGUCUUGCUGCUUAUGCUAGAAUUCUAAGGACUGUGGUAGCAAAUAACUGUUGAUGAAUUUAA